GUAAAGUUCAGGCCGAAUUUCCUCACACUAGGAAAACGGGGGAACCAGUUAUGGGUGAAUUGAUCUUGCUUCAGAGGGAUCAUAGGGGACCUUCAACCGAAUCCUUAAGCUAACCUCGCAGGCACCGGAAGGGGCAACU
rnacentral:sRNA from 2 species